CCUUCGAUAGCUCAGUUGGAAGAGCGCAAGACUGUAAUUGGAUAACUUGCUAUCUUGAUGUCGCUGGUUCGAUCCCGGCUCGAAGGA